GAUGAACGCUGACAGAAUGCUUAACACAUGCAAGUCUUUGGCGAAUCUGUGCUUGCACCGGCUAGCCAAGGCGGACGGGUGAGUAACGCGUAAAGAACUUGCCCUGCAGACAGGGAUAACAGACGGAAACGACUGAUAACACCUGAUACAGUUGCCGGCACGCAUGUGCCUGGCAAUGAAAAGAGAUGCUGCAGGAGAGCUUUGCGUCCUAUUAGCUUGUUGGUGAGGUGACGGCUCACCAAGGCGAUGAUAGGUAGCCGGCCUGAGAGGGUGAACGGCCACAAGGGGACUGAGAUACGGCCGUUACUCCUACGGGAGGCAGCAGUGGGGAAUAUUGGACAAUGGGGGCAACCCUGAUCCAGCAAUUCUGUGUGCACGAAGAAGGUUUUCGGAUUGUAAAGUGCUUUCAGCAGGGAAGAAGAAAGUGACGGUACCUGCAGAAGAAGCGACGGCUAAAUACGUG
rnacentral:rRNA from 1 species